rnacentral:lncRNA from 1 species
CCACCUCUCCGCCUCCAGUGGUCGGCUAGAUGUUCCCAGCUCAUUUUUAUUUUGUCACCGUGUUUCAGGAGCCGUGCCCAGCAAAUGUUGGUGGGAUUAAUGAAAAGAAGUUGGGAAGUUAUUAGGCAGUUAGGAGACUGGAUAGGGAGGAAGACAGGACAUUCAGAAAGGGAGGGAGGAAGGAAGGGAAGCCAGACGCCACGUGGAGCUCUAGAACGCACAACGUUGAAUGCAGUAGGAAGGAAACGUGGCCCUUGCUAAUCAGGUCUUUCCAGUUGGAGUUGAUGAGGGAAACCCAAGUGAGACCAUUAAAGCUACAAAUCGCAGGGCAACAUCCGCAACAAUGAUAGAGAAUAAACAGUGUGAAUAUAAAGUGGAGAAGCACUGAAAAUGGAGAAUUAGUCACUCUCUGCCCAUCCCGGGAAGCAGGUAGCUUGCUUUCUCAUUUGCGAUGCCCAUCCCUUGUUUCAGGAAAAGGAAAAUUAAUGUAAAAGAGCUUCAGAUGGAUAUGUAAACUGGGUGGAUGCCUGUGUGAUGAGUGAAUUUGCUCUUCAGGACGAUAAACUCUGGACACACAGCCUGGAGAGAGUAGGUGCUCUCGAAUGACUCAUUAGUAACCAGCAGGCAAGGCACAAGGCACAUUUGUCACUUUUCCUGCCAAAGGCCUCUCCUACGCCCCCUCCAAAGUCUCCUUCGACUCCACCCUCCUCAGAUGGAACAACUGGGGGAGAAGACACACUUUUGCAACCAAGUUUGAAAGCGAAACCAAUAACUUGUUUGUGAACUGAUCAUCCCUGAGGCUCCUUUGACUUGCUGUCACCUGUGUGUAAAGGUCUGAUGAAGCAGAGAUGACAGUGACCAGCUGCAGCUGUCCCCUGUGACUGCCCUGCACAGCCAUUCCUGCUCGGCUCGCAGAAUUAUUAUCAUGUGGAAAGGAAGGAAUGCUUUCCAAAGUGCAAGGGGUUAUGCAGCCCUGGUUUACCCUAUGCCAUGCUGGGAGGGGGAGGCAGCGAGCGGCAGGUGCUCUCCACAUUCUGCAUAAAAAUGUCUCCAAUGUGCUUCAAAAUGUUUGUCGCUCCCACAGAGAACCUGCAAAUCCUCACCGCAGGGCCUUGCAGAGGAGGACACGGAAACGUGUGCUGAGGAGGACUUCCUCUCACCUGCGUUUCCCCAAAGCAAUUCCAAAGCAUGAAGGUCUUUGUCUUCUAAGCCAAGAUGUCAGCUUUCUGCCUUUUUGCGUCAGAUUUUGCUCCGUGUUCUGCUUACGCUGCUAAACGCCAACUUGAAUGAAGUACUGAGCAUCACUGCCCCACCAACCCAAGAUUCUUCCGGACACGGUGGGCACUUUAUACCCGGGGACAGUUCUGACUCCCCUUGUCAGGUGUUGCUGGUCUCCAUCGCAUUUGCCAAAGCCUCGCAGGUACCACUCUGUCACCGUCAAAUGUCCCGUCGCUUGGCUGAGGUGUUCCCCACCCAGGUCCCAUCUGGCACGCUGGUAUGUGUCGCUCUCCAUCUUUUUCUCAGAUCUCAAUCUGGACGUCACUUCCUCAACUCUGAAGACAGACUCUGUCCUAAGAGGCCCAGAGUCUUGGAUUCUGAGCAAACCUGCCUACCACCGCUGGGCCACCGCUGGGCCACCGCUGGAAGACUGGCAGCUCUCCUUCCUCCCUUCCGCCGAGAAUGAAGCUUCCUCUCCACCAGAAAACCGCUACAGCAAAAACACACUAGGAAUCCUCAAUUUGGGAGUCCCUGGAACUAGAAUGAAUUUCUCUAGGUCAGAGGUCAGCAAGCAUUUUCUACACAAGAUCAGGUAGUAACUAUUUUAGGCUUUUACGACAGAGAACCAUAUAGUCUCUGUCACGACUAUUCAAUUUAGCCAUCAUCGUGCGAGAAAAAGUGUGGACAAUACUGAACAAAUAAAUGUGGCUGGAUUUGACCUGUGGGCUGUGGUUUGUCAACUCCUGUUCUAGAGCCUAAAACUGAAUCCUCACUAAUGGCCAGUUCAGUGCACGAAGAGCAUAAUUUUGCUCUUUUUUUCAGUUUUAUAUUCACCUGGACUACUUUUUGCUGUGUCUUCACCUCCAAUAUUCAAACAGCCGCCUACCAGCAGUUCUGUGACAAGACCUAGGAAUCUGCAGAGAAUGAAGUAUCUGGGCUUUGUUCAAGACAGCCGCGUGUCUGUGGAGUUUGACCUGUCAUUCGACCAUGUCUAGGUGUGUCAGUGUGGGCAAGUCUACUCACUCAACUCCGGAAGAAGGGCCUGUGG